UCUUGGUUCAGGACGAACGCUGGCGGCGUGCUUAACACAUGCAAGUCGAGCGAUGAAGCUUCUUCGGAAGUGGAUUAGCGGCGGACGGGUGAGUAACACGUGGGUAACUUGCCUCAUAGAGGGGAAUAGCCUUCCGAAAGGAAGAUUAAUACCGCAUAAGAUUGUAAUAUCGCAUGAUAUAGCAAUUAAAGGAGUAAUCCGCUAUGAGAUGGACCCGCGUCGCAUUAGCUAGUUGGUGAGGUAACGGCUCACCAAGGCGACGAUGCGUAGCCGACCUGAGAGGGUGAUCGGCCACAUUGGGACUGAGACACGGCCCAGACUCCUACGGGAGGCAGCAGUGGGGAAUAUUGCACAAUGGGGGAAACCCUGAUGCAAGCAACGCCGCGUGAGUGAUGACGGUCUUCGGAUUGUAAAGCUCUGUCUUCAGGGACGAUAAUGACGGUACCUGAGGAGGAAGCCACGGCUAACUACGUGCCAGCCGCCGC
rnacentral:rRNA from 1 species